rnacentral:rRNA from 1 species
CCUACGGGAGGCAGCAGUGAGGAAUAUUGGUCAAUGGGCGCGAGCCUGAACCAGCCAAGUAGCGUGAAGGAUGACGGCCCUACGGGUUGUAAACUUCUUUUAUACAGGAAUAAAGUGAGGCACGUGUGCCUUUUUGGAUGUACUUUAUGAAUAAGGAUCGGCUAACUCCGUGCCAUCAGCCGCGGUAAUACGGGGGGUGCAAGCGUUGUCCGGAAUCAUUGGGCGUAAGGCGUUCGUAGGCGGUAUGUCAAGUCUGAGGUUAAAGCCCUGGGCUCAACUCCGGUUCGGCAUUGGAUACUGGCAAACUAGAAUGUGGUAGAGGUAAAGGGAAUUCCUGGUGUAGCGGUGAAAUGCGUAGAUAUCAGGAGGAACAUCGGUGGCGAAGGCGCUUUACUGGACCAUUAUUGACGCUGAGGAACGAAAGCCCGGGGAGCAAAUAGGAUUAGAUACCCUUGUAGUC